GACGAACCGUGCGAACGUUAUUCGGAAUCACUGGGCUUAAAGCGCGUGUAGGCGGGACGGCACGUCGGUCGCUGAAAUCCCCCGGCUUAACCGGGGAACGGGCGUCGAUACGACCGUCCUGGAGGGCGUAGGGGGACCUGGAACUUCCGGUGGAGCGGUGAAAUGCGUUGAGAUCGGAAGGAACGCCCGUGGCGAAAGCGAGGUCCUGGACGCCUACUGACGCUGAGACGCGAAAGCCAGGGGAGCGAACGGG
rnacentral:rRNA from 1 species